rnacentral:rRNA from 1 species
UACGUAGGUGGCAAGCGUUGUCCGGAUUUAUUGGGUUUAAAGGGUGCGUAGGCGGCCCCGUAAGUCAGUGCUGAAAUAUCCCGGCUUAACCGGGAGGGUGGCAUUGAUACUGCGAGGCUUGAGUAAAGUUGAGGUAGGCGGAAUUGACGGUGUAGCGGUGAAAUGCUUAGAUAUCAAGAGGAACACCUGAGGUGAAGACGGGUUGCUGGGCUGACACUGACGCUGAGGCGCGAAAGCUAGGGUAGCAAACGGG